UCGCCAGAAGAUCGGCCCGCGUCUGAUUAGCUAGUUGGUGGGGUAACGGCCCACCAAGGCUACGAUCAGUAGCUGGUCUGAGAGGAUGAUCAGCCACACUGGGACUGAGACACGGCCCAG
rnacentral:rRNA from 1 species